ensembl:lincRNA
CUUGGAUGGGAAGCGAAGUCUAUGAGUCCAGGACUGAAAAUUGGGGGUGGACAUCCUCUGUGUAGCAGAAUUCAGAGAAGGGUGAGAAUUCUAAAUUACAACCUGGUUUUCUAGGUCACAGUGAGUAUGCAUUUUUUUUAAAGUUUGUUAGGCUGAUCUAUAAUUUUAAAAUAUUAGACCUUUGCAUGUGGGCCUCCUUUGGAUUCCUUCACUGGACCCCACAAAUGUUGGAGGGACCUAUGCCAUGGUGAUCUGAGAGCCCCAAGAAGAAACCCAAUUAAUAAGACAGAGAAUCACCCACUGAGACGACUUCAAAAGCAUGGAUGAGUGUUUCUUUUUUCUUUUUCACAAUAUCCUGUGAAUAUUCAAAGAUAUCAAAAAACACAGACAAAAGUAUUGUAAGAUAGCUUUUUUUUAUUUUUUAUUUUGGUGGUACCAGGGAUCAAACUCGGGCCCUUGCACUUGAGAGGCAGGUGGCGGAACCACUGAGCCAAAUCCCCAGCCCAGGCAAAAGUAUGAGAAACACAAAUGGGCUGUAAUAAGGGGCUAGAAGAAUCAAGUGCGCUAUGGCGAUAACAUUAUAUCCAUUCUUGGAAAGAGGUGAUACUUUGCCUUUCAGAUCAAUUUUUACAUCCAAAUUGAAGGAACCAUUUGAAAAUGUUUGAAGGAUUCACUUCUGGGCUUUUCUCCAGACCAACAAGGACUACAGCCGGGAGUGUUUCAUUCCACAGAGGGUGUGCCCCUUGCCCGUACAUGUCUUCUUGUUCUUCCUUCUCCCAAGGAUCCCUGAAGGUUGCCAGGCCCCUUCUCCAGCACUGGUGGAGCCUCCAGCUCCCAAGGCUGUCACUGGACUUCCUGGCUGGGCGUGCACACACCACCUUCGCAUGUGCACACGUGUACAUUCCACUGGAUGGCAUUUCAUUUCCCCGAAGCAGUUUCCAUUUACUAAUGGGAGGAGGGUUAGAGCGACCCUUCCAUUCCAGGAAGCCCUUCAUAACUGGUUUUCUGCUGGCCUGGAAGGCAGGCCGGCCAUAAGAACAGGAAAGCACUCACGCCUGAACAGUAGGCAGGGCAGGUAUUCUGUCCCUUACAGAGGAGCAGUGGUGAGUGGCCGGGCUCUCACAUACCCGGUUUGGGAGCAUCAUAUGAGUCUUCGCAUUUUUAAGUCCAACCAGCCUCCGGAUUGUCAUGCUGCCUCUUCCCAAGAAGGCUGGGGAAACAGAAGCAACUGCCUACAGCAAAUGUGCUGCAGCUUCCUCCACAGACACAGAGUUCCAGCAGCGCACGGCUCCAUGGAAACUGAAAGGAGAGGGUGUGUACACCAUGUUUCUUCUAGGUCCAUUCAGUUCUCACCAGAAGCUGAGUGGCCACCGCCUAUGUUGUGGUGGGUCAAUCCUAAGUCGUAUUUUCUAUCAAACAGACCAGAAUAAUUAUAGCAAAGAAUAUCAGAAAAGGUGCCCUUUCUGGUCAAAUACCCUCAGUUUACAGAUGAAGAAAGAGUUUGAGGCUAUAGUAGCGGCAAGUCAAAUGACAUUGCUCAAGGCUACCUACUUAGCCACAGGUAGAGGGAAUUUUCUACAGUUUCAUGUUGAAGUUGGCUUGGUGUCUGCCUACAUGGAAAGUAGGUCCUCAGCAAGGUAAAUGGCUGCUGUCAUUUUAGCCCUCCGCUGUGCUCAGAAGAAGACACAGGAAGCGAUGUGGAAUAUAAGGCCAUCGUUGUUCUGGUUGCUCUGAAUUAGAAACUUAGAUUUCAUCGGCUCCCUUGAUUCCCUAUAUAACAUGAAAGGAAAAAAAAUCUCUAUUUUUGCGUUGACCUUAAAUCAAGCCUGUCUGUACUCUGUCCUUUGCAGACUCCUGCAUUUCUCUGGGAGCAGUUUUCUCUCCAUGCACAUUUCAUGAGCGCCUCCUUCUUAGCAGGUCCUGUCUGUGCUGGGCCAGGGGAUACCCAAAAAGCAAGGCAGAUGUUGUUCCAGUUCUCAGCAGAAGUAGAAAUGUCCCUUAAAAUGGUGAGCUCUAGUGCUGGAGAUUUAGCUCAGUGGUUCUGCUGCCUGCCUCGCAAGCAUAGGGUCCUGAGUUCGAUCCCCGGUACUAAAAAAAAAAAAAAAAAAAAAAAAAAAAAAAAAAAANNNNNNNNNNNNNNGGGUCUGAAUGAUCCCCCGUAGUAAAAAAAAAAAAAAAAAAAAGAAAAGAAAGAAAGAAAAGGUGAGUCCUUGAGCUAGUUAAUUUUGUGAUCAAUUCUAAGAAUGCCCUGGAACCAGCACUUGUUUGUUUCGUUUUUGAGACAGGGCUGUAUAUGUAUAGUCCAGGCUGGACUUCAACUCUCAGUCCCCUCCCAAGUGCUGGGAUUAUAGUAUGUGCCACCACACCCAGCUUUGGAGUCAGCAUUUGUAAUUUAGGCUAAGUGUCCCUCACUUGUUCUGGAUCCUGAACUGCCUUUCCCUCCUCGUGUCUGAAAACCAUUCCCCGAUUGUUUCCUGACGCCCACUUUGGAGUCCGAAUCUGGAUUUAUGGGUGUCUUUAUGGAUGACCACAUUCCUGUGUUUUCCUCCCCAACUUAAGCACCCAAAUUAAAUGCUAGGCCAGCACCUGAGGUUAGUGUGCUGAACAAGCCAACUGCCACCUCUGUUUUCAGGGAUACCUGCUGGCUCCCGGUCUCUGCUCUUAACUAGGACUAGGCACUCUUCCCUGUUCACUUGGAACGGCUGAGCAUUAGCUGUGACUCUCCUAUUCAUACUCUACAUUGUCUUUGAUUUUGUGUCAAUCUCUGCCCCUGGCUUUGACUUUGGUGUCUAUGGUGCCUGAACUUUCCUUCCUAGAUGAAUUUGCUCCCAGCUACAAUCUCACGCAUGUUAACUUCCUGCUACUCUGCCCACCAGCUUGGCCUAGCUUCUACUUCUGUCUUUCCUUGGUGCACUUCAUUUGAGUCAACCUGUGACCUGGAGCUGAUCCAUCAUCUUAACAGGCC